GCGUGCCUAAUACAUGCAAGUCGAGCGGACAGAUGGGAGCUUGCUCCCUGAUGUUAGCGGCGGACGGGUGAGUAACACGUGGGUAACCUGCCUGUAAGACUGGGAUAACUCCGGGAAACCGGGGCUAAUACCGGAUGGUUGUUUGAACCGCAUGGUUCAAACAUAAAAGGUGGCUUCGGCUACCACUUACAGAUGGACCCGCGGCGCAUUAGCUAGUUGGUGAGGUAACGGCUCACCAAGGCAACGAUGCGUAGCCGACCUGAGAGGGUGAUCGGCCACACUGGGACUGAGACACGGCCCAGACUCCUACGGGAGGCAGCAGUAGGGAAUCUUCCGCAAUGGACGAAAGUCUGACGGAGCAACGCCGCGUGAGUGAUGAAGGUUUUCGGAUCGUAAAGCUCUGUUGUUAGGGAAGAACAAGUACCGUUCGAAUAGGGCGGUACCUUGACGGUACCUAACCAGAAAGCCACGGCUAACUACGUGCCAGCAGCCGCGGUAAUACGUAGGUGGCAAGCGUUGUCCGGAAUUAUUGGGCGUAAAGGGCUCGCAGGCGGUUUCUUAAGUCUGAUGUGAAAGCCCCCGGCUCAACCGGGGAGGGUCAUUGGAAACUGGGGAACUUGAGUGCAGAAGAGGAGAGUGGAAUUCCACGUGUAGCGGUGAAAUGCGUAGAGAUGUGGAGGAACACCAGUGGCGAAGGCGACUCUCUGGUCUGUAACUGACGCUGAGGAGCGAAAGCGUGGGGAGCGAACAGGAUUAGAUACCCUGGUAGUCCACGCCGUAAACGAUGAGUGCUAAGUGUUAGGGGGUUUCCGCCCCUUAGUGCUGCAGCUAACGCAUUAAGCACUCCGCCUGGGGAGUACGGUCGCA
rnacentral:rRNA from 2 species